rnacentral:rRNA from 1 species
AUAGGUUAAUGAGGCGAACCGGGGGAACUGAAACAUCUAAGUACCCCGAGGAAAAGAAAUCAACCGAGAUUCCCCCAGUAGCGGCGAGCGAACGGGGAGGAGCCCAGAGCCUGAAUCAGCAUGUGUGUUAGUGGAAGCGUCUGGAAAGGCGCGCGAUACAGGGUGACAGCCCCGUACACAAAAGCGCAUAUGCUGUGAGCUCGAUGAGUAGGGCGGGACACGUGGUAUCCUGUCUGAAUAUGGGGGGACCAUCCUCCAAGGCUAAAUACUCCUGACUGACCGAUAGUGAACCAGUACCGUGAGGGAAAGGCGAAAAGAACCCCGGCGAGGGGAGUGAAACAGAACCUGAAACCGUGUACGUACAAGCAGUGGGAGCACAGGUUUACCUGUGUGACUGCGUACCUUUUGUAUAAUGGGUCAGCGACUUAUAUUCUGUAGCAAGGUUAACCGUAUAGGGGAGCCGAAGGGAAACCGAGUCUUAACCGGGCGUUAAGUUGC